GACGAACGCUGGCGGCGUGCUUAACACAUGCAAGUCGAACGGAAAGGCCCCUUUGGGGGUACUCGAGUGGCGAACGGGUGAGUAACACGUGAGUAACCUGCCCUUGACUUCGGGAUAACUUCAGGAAACUGGGGCUAAUACCGGAUAGGAAUCCUUGCUGCAUGGUGGGGGUUGGAAAGCUUCGGCGGUUUUGGAUGGACUCGCGGCUUAUCAGCUUGUUGGUGGGGUAGUGGCUUACCAAGGCUUUGACGGGUAGCCGGCCUGAGAGGGCGACCGGCCACAUUGGGACUGAGAUACGGCCCAGACUCCACGGGAGGCAGCAGUGGGGAAUAUUGCACAAUGGGCGGAAGCCUGAUGCAGCAACGCCGCGUGCGGGAUGACGGCCUUCGGGUUGUAAACCGCUUUCAGCAGGGGCGAAGCUUGUGGUGACGGUACCUGCAGAAGAAGCACCGGCUAACUACGUG
rnacentral:rRNA from 1 species